rnacentral:lncRNA from 1 species
CUCUCUCAAUAUUGUUAAAUUGCUGCCUCCUUCUCUUUUCACCGGGCCGUAAUUACUGAGGAGGCAGACGAGACAAUAUCCCAUUUUUUUUUCGAAAAGAUACAUAUUUUGGUUUUGUCCAGGUUGAAUUUGAUGUCCAGUUUUAAACCAGUUAACUGUGCAAAAUAUCCGAAGUGAAAGAACCUUGACUUGAUGGAUCAGCACCAAACAAUCUCCAUGAAAAUGAAAUAUACAAAUGAUACAACUCUGGGAAUUGCAACAUGAUCUCCAGGAUCUGACCUUGCAUUGUGAGUGAGGUCAACUGAUUUCCA